rnacentral:rRNA from 1 species
GAUGAACGCUGGCGGCGUGCCUAAUACAUGCAAGUCGAGCGAACAGACGAGGAGCUUGCUCCUCUGACGUUAGCGGCGGACGGGUGAGUAACACGUGGAUAACCUACCUAUAAGACUGGGAUAACUUCGGGAAACCGGGGCUAGUACCGGAUAAUAUAUUGAACCGCAUGGUUCAAUAGUGAAAGACGGUUUUGCUGUCACUUAUAGAUGGAUCCGCGCCGCAUUAGCUAGUUGGUAAGGUAACGGCUUACCAAGGCAACGAUGCGUAGCCGACCUGAGAGGGUGAUCGGCCACACUGGAACUGAGACACGGUCCAGACUCCUACGGAAGGCAGCAGUAGGGAAUCUUCCGCAAUGGGCGAAAGCCUGACGGAGCAACGCCGCGUGAGUGAUGAAGGUCUUCGGAUCGUAAAACUCUGUUAUUAGGGAAGAACAAAUGUGUAAGUAACUAUGCACGUCUUGACGGUACCUAAUCAGAAAGCCACGGCUAACUACGUG